GUCUAUUUGAUGGUAUAAAAAGUCUGGCCUGCCCACUGAUUAAAGUUGGUUUAAGGGCCGCAGUAUUAUGACUGUGCAAAGGUAGCAUAAUCAUUAGGUUUUUAAAUGAGAUCUCGUAUGAAUGGUUGGACAAAGGAGAAGCUGUCUUGAUUUUAGAAUUUGAAUUUUACUUUUAAGUGAAAAGGCUUAAAUACUUUAGGGGGACGAUAAGACCCUAUAAAGCUUUACAUAGGGAUUAUAUUUAAUUGAAUUUAUAGGUUUAAAUAUUUUAUAUGGUUGUUUGUUUUAUUGGGGCGAUAGAGGCAGAAGGAGUUAUAGCUGCUUAUAAAAUUAACAUUUGUUUAUGGGUUAAACAGUAACAGAUCCUAAUUAUAGAUUAAAAGAUUAAGUUACUUUAGGGAUAACAGUAUAAUUUUUUUUAAGAGUUCAUAUCGAAAAGAGAGUUUGUAACCUCGAUGUUGAAUUAAAAUAUCUCCACAAUGUAGCUGUUGUGAAAGAGGGUCUGUUCGA
rnacentral:rRNA from 1 species